CAAACUUACCCGGAGUUAGAGGGCCAUGUAUAAUGCAAGGUGAAGGUCCAGGCUGUUUGGCCAGAUGCAAAGGCAAGCCAGCCCACAAGACUGUCUGAUGCAGUACUUGCUGCUGCAGAAUGCUCAAGGAAGAUGCUGAAAUGUUUCCUUCCUUUGGGGAUGCCAGCACGGGGAGCAGUGUUCACUGCAGCUCUACAAGCCUCUCGAGGCGAGGCCAUUUAUGAGAUCUUAUUUUCCUCAUGAAGAUGUUUUCUAUUCCCCAACAUUUUGGAUGCUGGAAAUUCAUCCUCUUUCUCAUUUUGUGGCUCACAACUUUUUGAGGUGUUGCCAGACAACUAAAGAAUUUAAUAAAUCCACUGCAUGCCUUAAAAAGGCUAGGAACAAGCCAUGCGAUGUCUGCCAGAUGCCUAAGGAAUAAGACAAGGAGGCUACAAUUCAUUUCAUGAAAGCACAACAUACCAUGCUCUGAACUAAUUUGGUGGCAAAACGUAACUGGAAGAGGUGUGAGUUUUAUUCAGGAGCUGGACAAUAGCAAUCAAGUGAAUCAUAAGGAAGCAUGAAGUUGGACAGAGUUGCUGUCUACAUGGAAGACAGAAAUGAAAUUCAAAGACACUGUGAAUACUAUGAGAAAUAGAAUGAAGAUCAACAGGGAGAAGAAAGAUUUCUUACAGAGAAAACACAAACUUUGUAGAAAAAAUAAGGAAAACAUUUUG